UGUGGAUGUUGCUUUAGAGCGUUUUAAAUGUGGAUUUUGGUUGUCAUCGUUUAAAUCCUUAUGUUCGUGUUUAGGUUGAUUCGUUUGGAUGUUGACUUGAACAAGGAUUGUAGUUAAAUCUCAGGUAACGGAUUUCUAACUACUGGACCCCAAACCGAGACAAAAAACGUAGUAACUCAUGUGAAGGUUAUACAAUAGCGACUGUACUGAAUUGAUUGAUGCAUGUUGCUUAGAAAACAUCAUUAGUAUGCACUCUUGACUGAUUAAAGGUGACAUGAUUGUUAGUUAUAACUUAUACAUACAAAUAUGUGAAUGAGUUGUUCUGCUGAUGGUGUACAGAUGCCUAGAUGUUUUAUGUAAUAUAGCUAUAUUGUUGGAUCGUGCUGUUAACUGAAAUGGCAAAGGUAACACGAGGGGCAGACUGGCAAGAGGCAAAAAGGAUGCGUGAAGGUCAUAUGGACAUGUCUAGUUUUUUAUGCUUCCACUGAACGUAUUUGUUAUUUCUGUAUUUUUUUAAUUAUUAAAUGGAGUCAUGGUCAGAACAAUUGUUCUUCUAUUUUGUUUUGAUGACUUCAUGGAUUAUGUUUUGGAACUUUUGGAAAGCGAUUUAAAAUAGGGCCCGAAAUUGCUUUUCUUA